AACGAACGCUGGCGGCAUGCCUAACACAUGCAAGUCGAACGAGACCUUCGGGUCUAGUGGCGCACGGGUGCGUAACGCGUGGGAACCUGCCCUUAGGUUCGGAAUAACUCUCCGAAUGGGGUGCUAAUACCGGAUAAUGUCUUCGGCCCAAAGAUUUAUCGCCUUUGGAUGGGCCCGCGUUGGAUUAGCUAGUUGGUAGGGUAAAAGCCUACCAAGGCGACGAUCCAUAGCUGGUCUGAGAGGAUGAUCAGCCACACUGGGACUGAGACACGGCCCAGACUCCUACGGGAGGCAGCAGUGGGGAAUAUUGGACAAUGGGCGAAAGCCUGAUCCAGCAAUGCCGCGUGAGUGAUGAAGGCCUUAGGGUUGUAAAGCGCUUUUACCCGGGAUGAUAAUGACAGUACCGGGAGAAUAAGCGCCGGCUAACUCCGUG
rnacentral:rRNA from 1 species